rnacentral:rRNA from 1 species
UACGGGGGGAGCAAGCGUUGUUCGGAUUUACUGGGCGUAAAGGGCGCGUAGGCGGUCAGCACAAGUCAGUUGUGAAAUCUCCGGGCUUAACUCGGAAAGGUCAACUGAUACUGUGCGACUAGAGUGCAGAAGGGGCAACUGGAAUUCUCGGUGUAGCGGUGAAAUGCGUAGAUAUCGAGAGGAACACCUGCGGCGAAGGCGGGUUGCUGGGCUGACACUGACGCUGAUGCGCGAAAAGCCAGGGGAGCGA